UACGUAGGUGGCGAGCGUUGUCCGGAUUUAUUGGGCGUAAAGCGCGCGCAGGUGGUGCGGUAAGUCCUGUGUGAAAUCUCCCGGCUCAACUGGGAGGGUGCGGAGGAGACUGCCGGACUGGAGGCACUCAGAGGCCGGUGGAAUUCCCGGUGUAGUGGUGAAAUGCGUAGAGAUCGGGAGGAACACCAGUGGCGAAGGCGGCCGGCUGGGGGUGACCUGACGCUGAGGCGCGAAAGUGUGGGGAGCGAACAGG
rnacentral:rRNA from 1 species